UGCCCCGGCGCGAUGAAGUGGAUAUGGGCGUCAAAGCCGCCCGGCGUCAGGAUUUUCCCCUCGCCCGCGAUGAUCUCGGUCGAGGGCCCGAUGACCAGCGUGACGCCGCCUUGCGUAUCCGGGUUCCCCGCCUUGCCGAUCCCCGCGAUGCGCCCGUCGCGCAGGCCGACAUCGGCCUUGUAGAUGCCGGAAUGGUCCAGGAUCAGCGCAUUGGUGAUGACCGUAUCCAUCGCUCCACCGGCCCGGGAGACCUGGGACUGCCCCAUCCCGUCGCG
rnacentral:sRNA from 1 species